UUUGACCUCUUUCUUUACAGAAGGUGAGGUUCAGGGGCACCCCAUUAACAGUGGCAACAGCAAAGAAAGAGAGAGUAACCAUCGCUUUGUUCCUAAACGUGAUGAAGCCACCGGGCCAUUUCCAGAAGCUGUGCUUCUUAGAGAGGUAUGUCGGAAACAUUCACACCUAGGUGACUAAACCACUUCACGAAGUUUUUGCAACUACUGGUCUUGUUCAAAGCUUUCAGCUUGUUAGAAAGGAAAAGG